GAACCGACGAAGUGAAGAAAUUAACAUUUAAGUUUUAACUUUAAAAAUAAAAAAUUCAAAAUUCAAAAUUCAAAAAAAAGUCAAUUAUGUGCGCCUAGAUGCAUAUAACCGUGCCUAGGCGCGCAUUAGUGGUCAAUGAUUGCUGUUGAUUACUAAAUAAGGCGUCAAACCACUUGGCUUGGCGUUUCCGUAAGUGGCUUUGCAUUUCUGCUGCGCCUUUUAGAAAAGUGCUUUGCAUUUAAGGACAAACAUGAUUUCAUGUGGGCCCAGCUGAGAUGACAGGAAAUCGAUUCUGGAUUUUCCAAAAGUACGCCUACUUAUUACAUCUAUCACAAUCCAAUGACAAAAUAAAAGAGAGUUCAAAGGGGGGAAAAAUCAUAAUUAUAAGCAACAAUACGAUUGAGUGAAAACCAGACUAUGAUUUAAAUAUAUUGAUGAUAAAAUAAGUUGGUGAUUGAGUGAAUGUGGAUGUUAAAUAUUUGGAAGACAGGAGAUAAUUUUGACAAUUUGAAGUUAAAACUUAUUAAAAAUGAAGAAAAAGUAUUUUUGAGGUUCAGGAGUUGAACCCUGAUAGUGAAAUUUAGAAUUUUUUUUUUUUUUUUUUUAAUAGAGAAACUGGGAAAAUGUGCAUAAUUAUCUAAUUAUUGAAAUUAAAUGGUAGAGGAAUUGGAUACUUCUAAUAAGUUCUCUAGUUAUUGUCACAAGCUGGAUUUUAAUCUGCGAUUGAUCAUGAGGGCUUGAGUCAAGUUGUUCCGAUCUUGCACUCCUUAUAUUAUCCAGUCUGCCAUCCUCUUUGGGCUCUCCAAAUUUUGAAAUCACCAUUUUCAUCUUUGAGAACCCAAAUUAUUCCAGUUUUUACUGUAUGGCACCAACUGCUUCGUUGAUUAGGUGGAUCACUUUAUCAACCCUACAACUCCCCAUGGUUGAAUGGUUUCUCAAGUGAUGUGUACAUGUUGAAUAUUUCUUGUCUCUCUCCUACCCUCAAAAACAAUUCAAGCUUCUCAUGUCAAUUUAGGAUCAAACCAUAGCUAAGAAUGGUCAACUCAAUAUAACUGAAAUGUCUUAAUCUUCUUCCAUGUCAACACAAUGAAAUCAGUUGAGAACACCAGUUUUCCCACUUUAAUGACUAUGUCUCAAGAGGGAAUUCGGGAACGGGACUAAAUAAAAUUUCAAGUCGAGCUAAUAUAUAAAAAAAUUACACACAAGGAGAAUUAACUAAAAUCGUACCUAUUAACAACACUACUCAAAAAUAAGAUUGUCUGGUUUUAAAUUGACAAAUCAAGUGUUAAUACAAAUUUAUUAAUUAAUACAUUAUUAAUAUGAAAACCAUUUUAACAUAAAAUCUCUUACUACUUUCCCUUAACUUAUCACAUAAAAAGCCUCAGAAAUUAACUUGGCUCUGGUGACAAAAAAAGGGUUACUUCGGCGAUCGUUGCAGAAAAGCCUACUUACGAGGCCAGCCCCUACGAACAAAUCUAUCGACCAAUUGCCUCCUACUCCUUGGGAUGUUUUGUCCCUAAAUUGGAGUAAUGGGUCGGGUUCUUGUGAUGGAUUCUCAGUCAAAUCAUCAGCCUCCUCCAAACAAGAAAACCAGAAGAUGUCAUUUUUAAAGAUCUACUUGAUUUUGCGAAAGCCAAGUCAUCAUCACCUAAAACUAAUAUGCCAUUAUAAGUAGGGCUGCAUACAAAAAUUGCGAAACCGCAAAUCGAAUCGAAACCAUUGAGUUGAAAUUGCUGGUUUGGGUCCACGUGGACCUGUGGUUUUUUCCCUCAAAUCGAACCAAACCGUUUCAAAAUGGUUUGGUUUAAGUUUUGAUUUUAAAAAAUCGCACAAAAUCGAAUCGAACCAUUUUAAAAUUUUUAAUUAAAACAGUUUUCACUUUUCUCAGAAAAAUACUAAUUUAGCAAUACAAAUUACAACCAGUUCAAUCUAUUGAACUAACAAUCGAAAGUAAAUUAGGUUUAUCAUUAUUGGCCUAUAGUUUAAUGAGAUCACAACGUGUCCUCGCCUUAUAUCUAAACUAAACUAAAAUUACUCCAAAACCAUAUGAGAAAAAAAAAAAAAACACAUUUUCAACAAUCCAAAUCAUAAUUCAACAAAGCUAUGUUAGCAAAUUACGUCCAAAAUUUCAAAAACCCUAAUAUAAACUCUCAUUUCCCUAACAUUUGACGCUUGUUCGUCACUGUUGAACGAAUUGCUAGACAGCUUUGCUUGUUAGUCUGCUAAUUUUUACGUGAAUCGCCUCUUUUUCUCCUCUUACAGUAAGUCUCAAAUUCUCAUUCAAGUCAUUUUUUAGUUGUUUCUUUUAUUUGUUGUUUUUGAAUUUAUUAUACACUUGUGAUUUGUAGUUUGGAUAGGAAAAUGACUAUUUGUGUGUCUAGAAGGUUAAUGAACUUGUUUGUGGUUUGGAAAAAAUGAAGGAUGGAGCGUAUUGAUUGUAUGAAAAUGUUAAAAGUUCCCUAACUUUUACUACUACUUUCUACUUAUAUAAAAUAGUUAGAGAAUGAAAUUCGUCAAUUCCUAAUAAGUCGAAAUUCUAUCGGUCUUUGUACGUUGAAACAUAUCCCGUUCAAUCUUUAUUUAAUAUCUCACUAGCAAGACGAAAGGAGUUUUAACCAAAUUAUAUAGCAGAAUGUAACUCUACCGUUACCAAUCGCUAUAUGACUAUAUGACUGUCAAACAAGAAAUGGUAAAUAAAAAAAAUGUAUUUGUUCUAUUAAUAUCUUUUAGCAACCAACUUAGAAUAUAAUUUAUUCAGGGAUUUCAUGGUAAAUAUGAAUGUAACCAACUUGGAAAUAUUACUUACUUGACUCAAGAAUCUUUACCCUUUGUCAUUGAGAAAUAAAUAUAUUUACAAUUGUUGAUUGCCAAUUAAAUAAUGUUGAAGGAAUAUUGCUUAAUCCCCUGAAGAAUAUUUACCUAUUGUCGUUGAGUAAUGGAUAUAUGUACUGUUGUUGACUUUUCAUUCUCAUUUUAAGGAAAAUUCUCCACUUUUGCUAUGUAUUUAUUGUAGGAUGCAGGAAAAUCCAGAACGCCAAAAGUUUCUCCAAAUCUUUUUGCAGAUAGAUUAAGUGCUGUACCUGAUGAACAUUUGCACCACAUUUUAUCAUAUGUACAAAGUUCGUCUUGGCUACUUGUGGUAAUUCUCAGAGAUUGCUAAAUGUUUUUGGUUCUAUGCCUAACAUCAUUCUAGAUGAUUCCUUAUUUAGGACAAGUAGAUACAAGGAUUUUGAGAUUUUACCACGGUGGCCUUAGACAAAUAACGCUCCGAACUAAAAUUCGUCGAUUUCAACUCAAAUUUAUUUUGACUUCAGCAAUAGUGGAGUCCAAACAAUGGUGCAUGUUGCAAUAUAGAGAAAUGCAAAAGAAAUUGAUAUUUGCACGGGAACCCUUGCAAUUUGCACGCGUACCAUUGUUUGGAUUCCACUAUUGCUGAAAUCAAAAAUACAUUUGAGUUGAAAUCAAUAAAUUUUAGUUCGGAGCAUUAUUUGCCUAAGGCCAACCGUGGUAAAAUCUAACUCAAAAUCCUUGUAGCUACUUGUCCUAAAUAAGGAAUAAUCUAGAAUGAUGUUAGGCAUGGAAUGAAAAACAUUUAGCAAUCUCCGAGAAUUAACACAAGUAGCCAUGACGAACUUUGUAUCUACAUAUGAUAAAAUGCGGUGCAAAAGUUCAUUAGGUACAGUACUUAGUCUGUUUACAAAAAGAUUUGGGGAAAUUUCUAGCGUUUUGGAUUUUCUUGCAUCCGACAGUAAAUAUAUCAGGGUUAGGGUUAGAAUGACUAAAAUUUCUGGCGUUCUAGAUUUUCUUGCAUCCUACAAUAAAUAUAUAGCAAAAGCUAGUGGAGAAUUUUUCUUAAAAUGGGAAUGAAUGGUUAACAAUAAUACAUAUAUCCAUUGCUCAACGAGAGUAGGUAUUCUUCAGGCGAUUAAGUAAUAUUCCUUCAAAAUUAUUCAAUUAGUAGUCAACAAUUGUACAUAUAUCCAUUUCUCAAAAGGUAAAGUUUCUUGAAGUGAUAUUUUUUCGAAACAAUUCAAUUGGCAUAAUCUUUGGCAGUUGGCAUAAAUCCAUAAUGAUAAGGUUAAUUUAACUUAUAAUUUUUCGAGAAAACAAAAAUCUCACAAUAGAAUGGUGGCGGUUGAGCCGGAGGCAGUGGUUAAGGAGAGUGAGAACGGAGAGGUAGAAUUGCAUUGCCCCUUCUGAUGAUGAAGGAAGUGGUGUUCGUGUUUGAAAAACAAAAUGUUGAUAUAAUAAGAAAAAAAGGGUUUUCUUGUUUGGCUAGUUUAGUGAGCAAGCGGGGAAAAAAUUGAAAAUCAAAUUAAAAAAAUUGGAGUUUUACCUAUUUCAAUUUUGUUGGAUUUUUUUAGUUUUGUAAUUUUGUUAAUUGGUACUUUUAAUCACAUCUAUUAAAAU
rnacentral:lncRNA from 1 species